UAUUUCAAUGGUCGUAUGUGUCAGUCACCACGUGGCGUCACCUCUACCCUAACAAGCUCGAGCACGGAGAGCCAACAACCGGAGCAAGAGGCAUCCCAGAGCCUUAAACGAAGGAUGGAGAACCAGGCUGUAGGAAGGCGCGGUAGGUGUGCGGGUAAGGUGUCUGUUCUGCGCAUGUGCAGCAGAGCAGAUGCCGCCCACCUGCCACGCCCACACCAAGCCACGCCCAUCGCCUCGGUCUUCCGGCGACCACUUCCAGGCAUCCACCUCCUUUAGGUGGGCGAAGCCGAGACUCCUGUUGCGGACGGGGAGCCUGCUUGGUGGCCGCCCUUCAAGGGAUUGAAUCGCGCCCGAGACUCAGGAAUGUCACACCCACCGAGACGCCUCCUCUGCCGAGGGAAGGCCAGCUGGGCCCUCUGUUUUUGCUCCCUAGCCAGGCGCUGAACCAGGACUACUUACAUCAGGACAAUCUGGUUGCUGGAUAUAAAUGGCAAGACACAGGGAUGUGUGUAUGUGAUCUUCUGGUCUAUUCCAUCUCUCCUACUGAAGAAAUUGCUAACACUGCCUUAAUCCUGAGCUGUGCUCUCAAGUGAGAGAUGAUGUGGCCACCAGGACAUGAAUGUGGGAGACCUGAGGGCAAGUAUGAAAAUUCCACUGCAAUGUUCUGGUGUGGUGACUGGGUGGAUCUGCAAGGCGAGAGCUACUGCUGACACUUGGAAAGAGACUCUGAUAGGACAAGAGUGCUGACUGAAGAAUCACUAGAUCAUCCAGAACAUAGCUGACCUUAAGCAGUUCUGUUUUUCUAAGACUUUAUUUACUUUGUUCGCCAUGUAUCCAGGAUAUUCCUAUUGUUUUAGUGUGUGGGAGUGGGAGAGUGAUAUUGCUAUAGAAAUAAGAAUCUGUUUUGAAUGUUCAUUAAUGUAGUCACAUUUCCCUAGUCAAAUACAAAAUCUUUAACAGGAUGAAGGACACUUGUAACUAGAAGUCUUUCUGUAAAUUAUUAUGUCUGAAGUUAUCUGACAGGCCCCCAACUGACAGUGGAUGUCUGAUUUAGAGAAAGUGCUAGGUUAGCCUUCAGGUAAGCACUGGGAGUUGGGAGGGAGGAGGAAGCUGUUACCUCCCUGCCUCUUCCAGGAAGGGUACAGAAAUUUCUCUAGCUUGUGUCUCACAAAGUUGAAUAAAAGCACUGAAGACACAUUCAUUUGCUAAUUUCCACUCACAUAUUAUCUAACAGGAUAACAUGAAAAAAAGACUGAAAUAACAUGGACAAUGCCAGAAUCAUGAACAAGCUGUUCAUUCUGAUGUAGAUGCUCCUGUGUUGGUCUGUAGCCCAUGUGUAGGAUUAAAUAGGACUUUGCUUCUCAGUUCCAAAUGCUAUGGAUUUAUUUUCUAAAGAGGCCCUGGGCAGUAAGAAUCAGAAUGAUGGUGAUGACCCAAAAUGUGAUAUUUCCCAACGUUUUUUUCCCCCCUUGGGAUAGGAAACCCACAAUAUUAUCACAUGUUCAGUGCAAAAUGAAAAACAGGAAGUCUCAUGGAAUGCUUGGAAUCGAGAUCUCCAUGGGAAUAGGCUUUUUAUUUGAUCAGUACUUCCAACGAAGGAUGCAGACAAAGGAAUGGAAUGGUGAGAAGAUGUUUCACAAAGGAAGCAGUGCCAGGACAUGAGUGGUGGUGCUGAUUAUGUUAAAAGCUACACUGUGCCAUUCUUUGUCUUUGAGUCAGUAGAUUUUUGAUCUCCAUCUUCUCCAUAAGAGUUACUGUACUGAGCUGAGUAAAAUAAUAAGUCCUGCUUUUCUCUAUUGGGCUGUUAAGUGUCUGACAUGGCAAUAGAUUCAGUUUCUUUAGCUUGACUCUCUAGGGCAUGAGGCUUGUUUAGUGACCUUUUCCUCAUAGCUUUCUAACGCUUUAUUUUUUUUUUGUCUUUUUCUUUUUUAUCAGUACCAGGGAUCGAACUCACACCUGCCUGCUUGCAAGGCAGGUGCUUAUGCUGCUGAGCUAAAACCCCAACCCAUAAUGCUUUAUUUUUAUUUAAAGAGAAAAAAAAAGAUAAAAAGGGUACAAAUAAAAAGAAUUUCAGAAAAAUAAACAGUAAGAAAUCCCUAGUGAUAAAUUACAUAUUUUUAUCUUAGAAAUAGUUGUUCAAGUUACAAAAUUAAAGCAUACGAAGUGACAUUCAAAUAAUGACACUGCAAACAGUUCUGCUCAAUGAUCCAACAAAAACUUAGUAAUAUGGUUAUCAGUCCUACACACUUGUUUUUUAUCUUAAAGAGGAUAAGAUUAAAUAUGUCAAAACAGAACAAAACAGUUCAUAAGGAAACAAUUUAAAGAAACACAGAUUUCUAAGCAAGUCCACUGGAGAUCUUCACUAUCUAUAUUAUUGUCUCUAGUUUUCUUCCAAAUAGUUGUCCCCAUCUUCACACACAUUGAAUAUAUACUGAACAUUAUAGAACUUAUCAAAUUAUUACAAGAUCAUGAAGGCUUUUUAAGUCUUCAAGAUCUGAUUUUGGGAAGUCAAUAAUGGCUACCAUAAUGUCUCUCAUUCUCUUCAAAAUAGCUGUGUUAAUCUUUAUGUAUGCUGAAAUUGAACAUAAGAGACUAGACUAAUAUCACUCUGAGCAGUGAAUAAUUGUAUUGCUAGAUUUUAUAUUAUAAUGCUACAGAAUUAGCAUUGGGUUUCUUAAUGUCUCCUCUUCUUCAGAGUAUCUGUUCAUUACAUCGUGUAUUGUAUAAUCUGUUCCCAUAAACAGUUUAGAAAUUUUUUGCAUGUGUGAAUCUCUACACGUAUAGCUAUCCUUUCUGUAUUUUAGGGAAAAAUGGAUCAAAAUAAGACAACAAAACAAAUUCCUAGAAAACCAUGAAAUGACAAAGAAUAUAAGACCACAAUAUUAGGUAAUCUAUAGUAGUUACUAUGCUUUUUCUUGUUAUUUUCAAUAGAAUUGUCCACAUCAUCAGGCAUUAUAUAGUUAAGCAUAGCAUUACAUAGCUAUUUUUAUAAAAACACAUCUUGGAGACAUUGUAGGACUUGAAAGCAGUUAAUAAUCAAAACUGGAAUGGAUAUCUUUUACAUCUUGUCAUCUUCAGAGUAGUUGUCUGUACUCUUAGACUUGAUACUAUCAAGCAUACCAAAUUCAAAUAAAAUCAGUCAAGGCAAAAUAGUGGUCUAGCAAACCAGCUUCAAAUAAGAUCAGUCAUAGUAAGACAAUGUAAGUAAUACAGGGUUUCAGUUUAAGUUAAUAGGAAAUUAAGGAUAGUUACUGUGGUAUAACUUGUUAUUUUUGGGUUAGCUGUCUGUGUCCUCAAAUCCCAUAUGAGUAGACAGACCGGAACAAAAUAUAAUCAAACUAAGCAGAGCUAUGAGACUACGGUGGCUUUUAAAUUCUGAUACACUUAUAACAAUGUACUCUGCUUUCCUUUUUUAGGCAAUUCCUCACCUUUCCCCUUCUCAGGAUGCUUUGUAUAUUUUGGGUCCCACUAGCUCCUAUAGUUUUUAGACUAGGGGAUCAAUCUGUUAUCUAUCUAAGUGUUGCUGAACCAUUUUACCCCUGAGCUUGAUCUUGAGCUGUACUCCUUUACUCACUAAAGCCACAAAGGUUUUCCUUCCUUCCAGCUGUAUAGUUCUACACUGCACAUAAGUGUCAUAGCUUUCCAACCUAUCUGCAGCUGCUGGACAAGUUGUCCCUAUUUCUCUCUGGUUUCCUGUUACAUAUAGCUUUGCUUUUUCAUCUUUGACUUUCAGUUUAUUAACCCUCUUUCAGGUUGAGUGUAUUUCCUAUUCAGAGCCUCUCUGUGGAUCCUGCCUCCUAAUCUACUCUGCCUGUGUUUCUUUUUUGUUAGUGUAUCAAGGCGAUCUAUAUUAAAAAUUAUAGCUUACCAUCUCUGCCUCAUCUCUGCUAUUCUGUUCUUCUGCUAUUAUUUGUCCACUUUACUCCUUCAUUCCACUGUUUGCCCUGUUCAUUGAGGCCUCUCUGCCACUGUUGCUGGAAUCUUGGUAUUUUUUUCCUCUCUCUCUCUCUGGAAUGUCCUUCAGUAUUUUUUUUAGGGUUGGGUUGGUGGCCAUGAACUCCCAUAGUUCCUCCUUGUCUUGGAAAUAUCUUGUUUCUCCAUUAAUUUUGAGAGUUUUUCUGGGUACAUCAGCCUUGGUUGGAAGUUUUUCUUUCAAGGCUUGGAUUAUUUCCCCCCAGGCUCUUCUCUAUUUGAGAGUUUGUGUUGAUAAAUCUGUCGUUAUUUUGAUGAUUUGUCCUUUGUAGGUGAUCUGCUUCUUUUCUCUGACCACUUUUAAUAUUCUGUUCUUGUGGUGGAUUUCUGGAACCUUGAUUAUUAUAUGUCUGGGUGUAGAUCUGUUUUGGUCAUAGGUGGCUGAAGUUCUGUAUGCCUCAUUUAUCUGGAUACCAUUUCUUUUUCCUAUGCUUGGGAAGUUUUCCUUAAUUAUAUCUGUGAACAUUCUUUGUAGUUCAUUUGUGAUUACUCCUGCUUCUUUGUUUAUAUUUUUUAUUCUUACGUUAUAAGUCCUCUUGUCAUCUUCUAGCCUUUGAAUUGUUUCUUCUUGGUUCCUUGUUAUUUUUAAGAGAUCUUUUCUUUCACAGUCAUACAUCAUAAAUCUCUCUUCAAGUUUUGAAAGGCUAACUUUAGUUUCUGUCAAGGCAUUUUUCCAACUUUCAAUGGAGUUUUUAGCUUCCUGGUAACCUCUUUGGUUGCAUGUAUUCUAGAUUUGGUUUAUAUUCUUCAUAAAAGGUUUCUCUUCCUUUUUGGAGUUCCUCCGUUCUUCCAUCUGUGUUCUCUUGGGAGGGGCUUAUCAUUCCUUUAAUUAAUCUUUUUAUAUCUUGCCUCACUUGGAUCAGGAGUACAAUUUUAAAUUCGUCUAUGAGGUCACAAAGGUAUUUCUUUAUGUCCGCUGAUGCUGUGUCUAAUAUUGCAUAAUUACUGCACUGGUUCUCUUCUGUACUCAGUACUCACUGAGAGCCAAUAACGCCUUCCCCCUUUGCUCCACUUUAGACUGUGCCGCGUCUUCCCAUCAAGGGCCCAGGACUCAUUGACUCCCGUUAUCUGCAGCUGUGGCUUCAGCAGGACUUUGGAUUGUCUGACUACAGGGCACACCCAGCACAGCCCAGAAUGGGUCACGGAAUGGGUCUCAGUGAGCGUAUUGGGCUACAGCCCUCCACCCGCGCUUUUCCUUCCUCUUCCUACUUUUAUUUUUCCCUUCGGUUUCCUCCUGGCUUAAUAAAAAUCAUCCUCCAAUCAUCUGGCCCUCUUCAUGCUGUCAAAUUCUAGCAUCUGACCUGCCUUCCCCACAGAGGCUCUUGAUCCAGCUCUCUAUCAAGCCACCAUUUUCUCCUCUCCCAGUUUUCUAAUUCUUCAUGUGCUAGAUGUGUUAGACUCAUCCCACAUCCCCUGAGAGAGCCUUGGCUGGUAUAACUGAGUCUAAAAAGCUCCCAUUUCUGAACAGGGCUCUCCAGAGGUGGUGCAGAGGACAUGGAGGAAAUGUAGGACACAUCACAGUGCUAUGGACAUAGAUAGUUUGUCUCAUGGAGGUUCAAGUGAACCUAGCAUCCUUAUCUUUUUUUUUUUCAAAAUCCAUUUUGUUCAAGGACUAAAAGGAAAAACUACAACAAAAUGUCAAGACACAUCAAUCAGGGGCAACAAUGGUACAUACAUUGCACAUUGUCAUCCCCACAUGAAUCACCCAGAGCAUAAGACACCUGAAUUUAUUUGUCCUGAUGUGCCCUCACUUCUGAGGAUCAACAGUGAAAUUGUCACUUGGUUGAAUGAGCUGCUCAGCUGGGGAGCAGAAAUCUUCAGUCUUGAAUAAACAAAUUAUAGUGUGGCUGAGUGAAUCAAGAAUCAGUUCAAGACAGCCGAUACCUUUCAGGCAUAUCUGGAAGCCACAUGGCACAGUAUAUUCAGGCCGGUUUGGUACUCAUGAGAGUGCUCAUUAACCAGAGUGGAAAUCUGGGUGGAUUCUAAGGAAAUGAAAUCUUUGAGAUAAUUGUGGAACAAGAAUGAACUUGUGUCUAAACAUUUUCCACAUCUUGACAAUAUGAAAUCCUGAGGAGAAAUUACCUGAAGGAAGUCUGAGUUCUUCUAGAAAUAAAUGAAUUUAAAAAUACCACUCCAAGUAGAAGGUGGAUAGAGGGAAAUAACCCUGCUUAGUAUUUCUUUAGAUGGUUUUAAUGUUUUAGUUGGCAGAGAUGUCCCUGUCUUCCAAACCCAAGACUCAGUGGACCUAGCCAGAAAGAUAGGGGUUUUCAUUCACUGAGCACCAGGUCUCAUGCCAUGUCAGGAAGGGCCUCAGGUCCUCCUUUCCUGGUGGUCACUUCUGAGGGGCUGUGGGAGAUGGGUCUGGGUUGGAUCCACAUUCACCCUUUGGGUCUGUGUGGCCUUUGUCUAGGACUUUCAGGAGCUGACAGUGGACUGCACAUUCAUUGUCUGCAGGUUAAGGGUUUAGAAACAACUGUUUGAAGGAGGGGCUUCCAUGUGAGGCCUCUCCAUGCUCUUAAACCACUCGCUCCUCUACAAGGCCCUGAAUAAGGAGGUCAAGAUUUGUGAUAGGUGCUAAGAUCCCAUGUGUGUUGGGGAUCAACACCUGUGAAAAUCAUGAGGGGGCAGAUUGGGAAGACAGGGUUGUCUGGCCAUAUAAUUGUCUGCUGGAGCCUUGGCCUCCCCCUCGGUGAGUUUUGAGGCUUUAGUGUCCCCAUCAGGCUCAUAUACUUGGAGCAUUAUGCUCCAACGUUACAGUCAGCCCACACAUUAUUCUGUUUAGGAUCCAUGACUUUCUGUGUUCCAUGCCUGGUCUGUGUCUAUAAGAGAAAAUGCAUUGUUAGGUGGCUGAAUUGUAACCUCUGAAUACUUCAACUUCUGAAUACAGCUAGACUUGGACAAGACCUACAGAAUCCCUCAGGAAAAGUGAAGCUGAAUGUGAUCACAGGUGACACAGAAACAGUCAUGGCACUAGGGAUGGUUUCUUUCUGCAGAAAUUUCAUUUCCCUUGGUUGUCAUUUAGCUGUUGGAACACUGGUCAUGAGGGAGAGAGUCUUCCAGUGAAAGACACCUUAGUGGUGGUCACACACAGUGUUGUCCUGCUGGGCCCACUGUAAUCCAGUGGUGAGGUUUCUUACCAUUUUUGCCUUUGGUGAAGGUGAAGUUGUCCAUUGAGUCCUGCAGGCAGGAUCAUGAUGAAAUAUGGCAUUUGUGUCAAGUUCUCAGGUUUUGAGCUAUCGUUGCAUGGAUUUCUAGUGUGUAAGCACAGUGAGACAUCUUUGUAAAAUGCAGUUUAGCUUCCUGAUCAUAGACUAGAAGGAUCAUGGUCCAUUCAUCUUCUGGUAACACUCAUGGGAAUGAGGGAUUCCCAGUUUAUUCCUUGUGGAGACUUAUUCAUACCUCCUGUGCUCUGUAUUCUGAAGAGGUAAAUAGUGCAAAGUGUGGCUCACCCUGCUGGACAUAGGAAUGACCUGUUAUGCCAAUAUAUGUGGAAGGUGACUCAUAUGGAUGCUCCCCUAUGAAGCCUAGAGGUAGGGACAAAGAUAGCAGUCAUGCUGUGUAUACCUCAGGCUACCCGAGAAGGAAUUUGCACAUUUGCCUCAGACACCACACAGUGACAGUCAGAUGCUGAUUAGCCACCUGUCUCAUUCACUAUUUCAAGCAGUCAUCACCAGGGAGCAAUCAAGCCAGUUUUGGGAGACACCCCCCACCUGCCUCAUGGAACAGCAUCUUGUGCAAAAUUCUGGGAAUUCUUGCUGCAUAUGUUUCUCUGCAUCCCAUGGAGUUGGAACAGGACAAAGUAUCUGACAUUUAAGUACAGCAUUAGAUUCAGUUACCCACAGGCAUUUCUAGGACACACCUGCAGUGCGUGACCCUAGAGCAUCUGUACUAGCCCCACCAGUGGUGUGCUUUCAUGAAUGGCUCCUUCUGCAUCUAGGGAGUCCAGAAAGCAAAUGAUCUGGCCAUGCACAAUUUAAUGUCCCACAGGAGCUUGGCACAGUUGGAAGAGAGCUCCUUAUCUGUGAUGACACUGAUUUCUAGCAAGAACCACUGAAGGAAUAAGUUUGGGUGCCUCUAACUAUGCACAGUUCCCUGACCCAAAACUAGUCCCUGAUCUGCCUGGACAUCUCCUGCAACCUACUCUAACAUCUGCUGGAGUCCAGACAAGUGCAGAAUAGAACCCAAGUGUCUUGAGUUCAGUUAUAGUGGUCCUCCCUGACACAGCCUUCCAGAGUCAGGAGAAUAAGGGUUGAUCAGGAAAAAGAUCCACAGGAGUCCUGGAAUUCCAUCUGGAGAAGAUGUACCUGAUCAUCACUUUUUGUCUGAAGGCAGGAGGAACAAGCCAGGAAGUGUCAGCAGCACAUGGAAGGCUGGAAGCCAGGACAGAUGUCCAGCAGCUGGGUUUCUUUUAUAGCAGAGUAUGGAGCACAGAUCCAGAAGCAAGGAGAGUGUCAUUGUCAGUCCAGGGAGAUUUCUCACAGGGUUUCACAGUGUGUUGGGUAGAGAUGCUCUUUUAUGUACAUGAUGGUGACCAGAAGCCAGGGGCCCUGGCAGUGUUCCAUUAUAGCAGAGGUCAGAGUGACAAUUCGAAAAGCAUGAUCCCCAUUCUUCAAGGGCUGCAGGCAAGAAAUGGAGAUAAAGGAGCAGACAAUUCUCAUAGUCACCACAGAGGUGACUAUAAGGAGUAGAGAUGCAGCUUGAGGUCCAGCCCCUGGAAGACUUUCCUUAAAUCAGGAUGGGCCAUCUCGGAUGGUCAGUUAAGACCUUACUGCUCUAGGCACAGCACUACCCUGCAGGGGAAAUGGAAUGUUGCCUGCAGAAAGGAAAACCAUAGUGCUUCCCACUUCCCUCACAAUCCCUGUUUGUCCAAAGGGAACCAAGGUGUUGUUGAUCCAAGUGUGUUUCUCUAGGGAGAGCUCUCCUGCGGCCCACAUGCCACCCCCUGUCACUACAGGAUGCUGCAGUGGCACUUCCCCUGCCUUUCUCUGGCCCUUGGUGCAAUUCUAGCCAAGGAAGUCGAGAGCCCCCAGGGCAGGAACUGCUGCCCACUAUCUGAGCAACUGAUAUGGAGAAGCAGAAGGUUCCAGGGCAGGAACCUCCCUUCCUAUGUGGGGAGCCCAGAGUAGGCUUAGAGCACACACAGUCUCAGCCUGCUAGGGGGCAUCUCCUCCUUGUGUACUACGAUUUUGUUUGUAAGGAAGCCUUGAAGCCCUUUGCAAAGGCAAGACUAAAUAUUAGUUGAAGUCCAGCCAGGGUCCUUUAUAGGUACCUUCGGCCUCCCUGACACACCUGGGCUUACCUCCUGUCCAUUGCUCUGAGCAUGCAUAGACAAAUCUAGUGACCACAACAAACUGGUCUCCUGGGCAUUUGGACUCAGUACAGUGGUCCUUUACCUUGAAACAGUUUUUCCCAGAUCUCUGUGCCUGGUUUUUCCCUGAAUUCUUGGCAAAUCGCCCACUGUCCUUGCACAUGACCACUGAUGCUUGUUGGCAUUUAAGACAAGUGUCUUCCCCGAACAACUGUCAAGGGACCUGCCUUGUCAUUCACACUCUUCAACCUCAAAAUGAGAUGAAGUUUUUUUCCAGGCUGACUUAAUGCUUAGUGUUUUCCAUUCCCUAAUUUCCUAAUGGGAAUAUGCAUUGACUGAUGUGACCCACCUCCCAGAAAAGGGUGGAUUUCAUCUGGUAUUUUAAUGUUGUCUUGAGUCAAAUGUAUUUUUCUUGCAUCUUUCAGGAAAUGCUUCUCCCAAAUCUUCAGGUAUGUUGUAGGUUUAUUUCUGCAUGAAGGCACAAAGUGAGGUGAGGAUAAUACCAGCACGUGAUGGCCGGGUCCUUCCCUGAAUUGUAGGAACCUGUAAUGGGCCUAGGCUCCUGCUGACAUUCUCAGGAUGAGUUUAGCUCAUCUUGUAGUUUUCUCUCAGUUAUAAAAGUUAAGAUGCCAUUCAAAGAAAAAGAUGCUACCUCACAGUAGUGGCCCUUGCUGGUCGAGUGCCUCUGGACUAGAACUGUGAUCCAAUAUUGAGCCCUGUGUAUAGCCUGGAGUUGUCUCCAGGUUGUAUCAAAUGUCAGCAGGGUUAAUUUUCUGUCCCAGGUCCAUUGUUGCCUAAAAUGCGGAACUGGACCUGUAGCUCUAGCUAACAUUCUGUGGGGAGUGUCACUGAUAAUGUGCAACCUGACAGGGAUACUUAGCCUGGUUCUGCAAGAUCCUGUGACCACAGACUCUGCAUCUAGUGUCUGGAUUCAGUCUUGGGCUCUGUAAGUACAUGGGUUCCAGACAGUGGGAAUUUGAGCAGGAGCAGACUAUGAAUGCAUAAGACCCCUUGGAUCAUUCUUUUGUGAGUCAGUUCACAGCGGCAUUUCUUAAAUAUGUUGAAUGUACUGUCCUGCUCCAUUGGGCCACAUCAGUUAUGGUUGUGUCACUUUCUACUCCCCCCAUUGUAGUUGUAAAUCUUCACAGGUUUUAUUAGGGGCCCUGUGCAGCAGGGAUAGAGGACACAAUCCCAUGUGUGACUGGCAUAGAUCACACUAUGUCCUUAGUGCUGGGAAUUUAUAUUAGAAGCUUCUGAGACAAAGUAAGCAAAGAAUAUUUUGAGUAAAUUUUUAAUGGACAGAAAUAGCAGUUUGUGUACUAGCUAAUAUCAAGGAUUUUGAGGAAAGUCAUAGGAAUCUCUGUCUUGAAUCGAAUUUGAUAUUUUCAAAUUGGGCAGGAAGUUUCUCCAGCAUCCAGAGUCUCCCAUCUCUGAUCCUGGUUGCUAUUCACACAUUCACAAUCUAAAUGAUGUAACAGCCUCUAAAUAUGCCUAAAUGUACAUUGAGCUAAUUAAUUACAAAUCUGUGGCUAAAAUUGUCAAUAGGAGGUGCUAAUGGGCUGCAAAUCUCUUGCAAGUUACUGUUGACAUGUAGCUGCCUUCCUUGAGGCCAAGACAUUUUUCUCAAAACUCAUAGUCAUCCAGCAAAUAUCUGGAUCAAUGUCUCUAAAGAUGCUAUUUCAAUACAUUGUCUGCAAAGACAAGCUGAAAGUCCUUAAGGCUAGCAGAAACUUCAUCCUAUCCAAGUUUAUGGCCUCAUGUGUUGCUGUAGCAAUUCGGGUGACUGGGCGGUAUAUAACAUAGGCCAUACUAAGAAGACAAAUAUUGUAUGGUGACUUUCUCAGACAAAAUAAAAAGGAGAAUGACUCCUAGAUGCUGAAAUAAUCCAGAAUUUUGAGCUGAGUUCAUCAGGAACAUAGUGGAAUGAGGAGCAUGCUGCUGAAGCCAUUAUUAAAAGUUUGUGCUAAAUGAUAUCCUGCCCAUGGUGGCAAUGGUUUUGAUUUCCACCACUGGUUCUCAUUUCCCCACUCAGUCAGGUCAGAUUAUGAAUCCAGUGAGGGUGCCAGCAAGUCUGCAGGUAGAAUAGAGUGAUCAAAAACCAUCAUGAAUUUUUUUUUUAAAAGGACAGGUUGACUUUGCAGGAUCAGAAGCCUCAAGAUAUAGGUGGUGUAUGAUUAAGAUUGCUGAAGACAGCCAAUACUAUUUUUUUAUGAGCCUGCCUUUCCACUGCAUGACCAUGCAGAUCCCCUGGCUCCAUGGAGAAGCCAUGCAUUCUCAGAGGAAUCAGCUUGUGAGCCUUCCUGUUUUUCUGACUGUCUUCUUGGCAGACAAGGAGCAGAUGUGGAGAUCCAAAUCCCUGAAGUUAUGUCUGCAAACUUUAGUCCCAAAGCAGCCCCAUGACUUUUUUGGAAUCACAAGUGCAAGUACCAUGUCCUGCAUGUCCUAUAAGCCCUCACUUGGUGUUUAUACCAGCAGACACUACCCCACAGUGCCCAAGAUUGUUGGUCAUCUUGAUUCUGAGAUCUUCCUAGUCAUGAAGAAGCAAGGCAUGGCAAGGUUGUACACCAUCAAGAUCCUAAAUUGUGACCUGAAUGCAGUGACUUGCUUCUUGCUGUUACCCUGUAGAUCUGAUUCCUCUCACCCACUAUUGUCAAUCAUGAGAAAUGAGUCAAAUGACACAUUCAAAUGACACAUUCCCAUAUCAGCUCUCGAAUGUAGUUAUAGAUGCCUUCACUGUUUCCAGCUGUCAUUUUGGGGAAUAUGAAACAUCCCCAAUUCCUUUGUUUUCCAUGAGCCAAAUAUUUUGUCUAUGAAAUUGUCAAAAAAAUGUUUGCACUGUAGAGCAGACAACUUCCCAGAGCAGUGCACAUUGAGAUGAAUGGUCUUUGUUGGCACUGAACUUCCCAUCACUAACUUGUGUGGUUGUGUGACUCCUCAAAUCACAUAGAUCCUGUAGAAAUGGUGAUUUGCCAUUAGUUUAGACUAUAACCGUUCUAAGUUGGAGAGAAGAGGGCUGCAGUUGUCAGGUCAAAGCACUCCAAAGAGAUAAACAAGACCUUGGGGAGAACAUGGCAGAUAGAUAACAGCAGCUAUGGAGGCUCUCUGAGAUAGCCAGCUUAGAAUCCAGGAAUGGUGCCGUGUGAGGACUCCUAAGCAAGGGGAGAUAUACCCUGCUGACCCAGGAACAAACUAAGCUGAGAGAAACCAAAUGGAAAUGCAAUCCUGGUGCUAUAACCAGAACAGAUAAAAUCUCAGUGCCAAAGCUGGAAGCUGCACCUCUGGAAACCGUGAUUUGAAUUUCUUGCUGCUGCUGUUUCAACUGAAUCGGCACAAUAGGGACAGAGAUGCGAAAACUCGAAGAGUGGGAAUUGGCGAACAGAGUUGAGAGCGGGACUGGUGAGUGCUCGACCUGUGGUGAGUGAGAGGAACGGAGACCCUUCCAUAGACUAGGAGGCUCCAACAGAGGACAUUCUGGGAUGGGGCAGAAUAGCCGAAACAGGGCGCUGCAGUGACUUCAGUCACAUAUUCCCCUCUCAAGCAGGAUUGGUGGAGAGUGCUUGGCCUGGGUGACGCCGCAUACUACGACCCCGUAGGCUAGCCCAAACCAGGUCCCAGCACCUAGUGGUGCACCCUAGCAGUGAAACCUUCAGUAGGUUGACCUGAAGGGGUGGGCCCAGCAUAUGCUGUGGAGGGCUGUGUCUCCCUAGUACACUGCAGUGGGCAGGAACACCUAACUGGUGGAUUCAAACAAACUGUAACCCACAAAGAAAGAAACUGGGCCUUCUAUAUAUGCCUGUAUGGAAGGAACAAAAAAUAUGAGAAGAGGAGGAAACAAGAAAGGGUCUUCGGCCCCCAAUCCUGAGAACACUGAUCUAGGAAAGGUAAAUGCAAAGGAGAAUGAGGACAGAAAACAUGCAAUAUCAGACCCGGCACCAAUAGACAUAAAGUGAUAUCUCUGGAGCCUCAUAGACGAGUUCAAAAGUGAAGUAUUUAACAAAGUAAAGCAAGAUAUAAGUAGAAUAGUUAUAGAAAUCCUAAGCACCGCCCAAGAAAAACCAGAUGGUGGAAUGGAGGAACAGAAAAAAAGGAGAGAAUCGUUUGAUGGAGAAAACAGAGAAAAAAGAAUACGCGAAGCAGGUUCAAAGAGAUUACCAGAAAACUAAAAAGUCUAUUGAAAGUUGGCCCAACAGCUUGAAAGAAACUAAGGAUAGAUUAUCUGAAUUGGAGGACAGAUUUGUAAUUUGGGAGCAUGAAAUGAAAAAUUUCUUAAAAAUAACAAGAAAACAAAUAGCAAUAAUCCAAAGGCUUGAAGAUGAUAAGAGGAUCUAUAACUUAAGAAUUAAGAACGUAAAAGAAGAAGUAGGGACACAAGUAAAUGAACUACAAAAGCUAUUCACAGAAAUAAUCCAGGAGAAUUUCCCUAAUUUAGUAAAAGGUAAAGAUACUCAGAUGUAUGAGGCAUACAGGACCCCAGCCACCUACAACCCAAACAGAGCUACACCCAGGCAUAUAAUAAUCAAAAUUCCAGAAAUCCAAUAUAAGAACAGAAUAUUAAAAGCCAUCAGAGACAAGAAACAGAUCACUUACAAGGGAACACCCAUCAGAAUUACAGCAGAUUUCUCAGCACAAACCAUCAAAUCACAAAGAGCAUGGGGGGAAAUAAUUCAAGCUUUGAAAGAUAAUAAUCUCCAGCCAAGAUUGAUAUAUCCUGCAAAACUACCCCUAGAAAUUGAUGGAAAAACAAGGUGCUUCCAGGAUAAAGAGGAACUAGGGGAAUUUGCCACCACCAAUUCAACUCUACAGAGAAUACUGCAGAAUACAUUCUAAAACCAAAAUACCAAGAAAAAUACCAAGAUUCCAGAAACAGUGGCAGAGAGGCCACAAUGAAUGGAGCAGAAAGCAAAA